rnacentral:rRNA from 1 species
UACGGGGGGGGCAAGCGUUGUUCGGAAUUACUGGGCGUAAAGGGUUCGUAGGUGGCCCGCUAAGUCACACGUGAAAUCCCUCAGCUUAACUGGGGAACUGCGUGUGAGACUGGCAGGCUUGAGUGCAGGAGAGGAACGCGGAAUUCCAGGUGUAGCGGUGAAAUGCGUAGAUAUCUGGAGGAACACCGGUGGCGAAGGCGGCGUUCUGGACUGUAUCUGACACUGAGGAACGAAAGCCAGGGAGCAAACGGG